rnacentral:rRNA from 1 species
CAGCCGCCGCGGUAACACCGAGGGUGCAAGCGUUAAUCGGAAUUACUGGGCGUAAAGCGCGCGUAGGUGGUUUGUUAAGUUGGAUGUGAAAGCCCCGGGCUCAACCUGGGAACUGCAUCCAAAACUGGCAAGCUAGAGUACGGUAGAGGGUGGUGGAAUUUCCUGUGUAGCGGUGAAAUGCGUAGAUAUAGGAAGGAACACCAGUGGCGAAGGCGACCACCUGGACUGAUACUGACACUGAGGUGCGAAAGCGUGGGGAGCAAACAGGAUUAGAUACCCGAGUAGUCCCUGUCUCUUAUAC